rnacentral:snRNA from 1 species
ACAUUUACCUGGCAGGGGAGAUACCAUGUUCAAGAAGAUGGUUUUCCCAGGGUGAGGCUUAUCUAUAUGCUGACCGCUGCAAUUUCCCCAAAUGUUGGAAACUUGACCGCAUAAUUUGUGGUAGUGGGGGACUCUGC